CGCAAAAUUGACAGUUUUUGACAG
rnacentral:miRNA from 1 species